GUUGGAUUUGCUUUUCUUUUUGGAUGAUUUCCCACUUUUGAUAGGAGUGCAAGGUGCUAAAUAAACUUUGUUCUUUCAUAUGCUUACAAAAUAAUGAAUUUAAGUCUGUGUUCCUUGUUAGGCAUGAAAUUUCAAAUGAUGCCCGAGUACUUUUUGAUAUUCAGUGUUUCUGCAUGUGCAUCUUUGGUGAACCUAUGCUUGGGAGUCCAUAUUAAUUAGUAAUAGUAUGUAAGAAGUAGGAUCCUAACUCAUCUUAUUUAGGGUUAUCAUAGUAGUUUUCUU
rnacentral:misc_RNA from 1 species